AUGCCUCGAUCUGCUUCUAGUCACCUCGUGAACGCCGUCGCCGCCGGCCGUGUAUUGUUCUCAUCUCGCGGCCACCCGGCCGGCAGAUGUUUCCUCCUGAUCUCCGAUAAUGGUUCCGCACCGAGCUCAUGUCUCCGGGCUGGCGCCCCGAUCCAUCCAUGGAUAUAUGUUGGUCUUCUCCGGAUGGAUGGCCAUGUACGCGCUAGCCUUGCUGCCCAACGGCUGGUGAACGCCGCUGCCGCCGGCCGGCCGGCCGUGCCUUGCUUGUUGCCAUCUCGCGGCCGGCAGUGUCUGAUGUUUCCUUCUGGUGAUCUCAGACGCUGCACGGAACAUCCACAUGACAAGACGGCUGCACUACAUGGCGGUGCUUUCAGGCCAGCUCGCAUCGCACCAAGCAGCAACCCCGUGGGAUCUAUGUGCACACGCAUGUUCUCUACGCCAGCUGGUGGCUCUGCCCGGCCACCGCAGGACAAGUUUUGGUUUGAGGUGGUGGUGCAUAGGACACCGUGCCCAGAAAAUCCCCGUCCUUGCCUUUACCGUAAAAGGUUCUACAAUGUUGACAAAGAUAAGGCCGAAUUAAUCUUCAGACACUUUUUGAGCAGGGUAAAUCAAGAUUCAAAGGUCGCCGCUAGUGACUCGCUAAAGUCGCGUUUCACCAAGCUUAAGUUUAUCGUGACAGAUAAGCUUUAUCUUGUUUUGGUUGGAGCCGCUUUAAAAUCUGGAAAGAUGCAGCUUCUUAUCGUCUGUGCUUUGUUCUACGUACUCUUUCUGAGGGCACCAUCUUUUAUGCGAAGAAUGGCGAGGGUUGCUGCACCACCUGCCAAAGGGAAUGAGUCAGAGUGA
rnacentral:rRNA from 1 species